UACGGAGGGUGCAAGCGUUGCUCGGAAUUAUUGGGCGUAAAGGGCAGGUAGGUGGUCUCAUUUGUCUGGGGUGAAAGCCUUGGGCUUAACCCAAGAAGUGCCCCAGAAACGGUGAGACUCGAGUGCUGGAGAGGUGAGUGGAAUUCCCGGUGUAGCGGUGAAAUGCGUAGAGAUCGGGAGGAACACCAGAGGCGAAGGCGGCUCACUGGACAGCAACUGACACUCAACUGCGAAAGCGUGGGGAGCAAACAGG
rnacentral:rRNA from 1 species